rnacentral:rRNA from 1 species
AUUGAACGCUGGCGGCAUGCUUUACACAUGCAAGUCGAACGGGCUGGGGGCAACUCCAGUCAGUGGCGAACGGGUGAGUAAUACAUCGGAACGUACCUCGUAGUGGGGGAGUAACUCGGCGAAAGCCGUGCUAAUACCGCAUAUGCUCUACGGAGGAAAGACAGGGGACCGGUAACAGGCCUUGUGCUAUGGGAGCGGCCGAUGUCCGAUUAGCUAGUUGGUGGGGUAAUGGCCCACCAAGGCGACGAUCGGUAGCUGGUCUGAGAGGAUGAUCAGCCACACUGGGACUGAGACACGGCCCAGACUCCUACGGGAGGCAGCAGUGGGGAAUUUUGGACAAUGGGGGCAACCCUGAUCCAGCCAUGCCG